CGGAAGGAUCAACACUCAACGCCGCAGGCAUUUUUUAGGACGAGGACAGAACCGUUACAGACAAGGAAGAGGCGACCGCGGAGAAGUCAGAGGAGGAGAUCCCGACAAUCGAAUCCUGACUCGAUCACAGAUUCGAUAGAAUUGGAAUAUAGAUCUAGACCAUAUGGAUCCCUUGACAAAGGCCAGACAUAUGGCCGAAACGUUGGGACAUGCUAUGCAAGUUUGAUUUGCUUCUACCCGGAUGUAUCAAUUAUAUAUGUGAAUAUAUGAAUAUAUGAAAUGAAAUGAUGUAAA